rnacentral:rRNA from 1 species
GACGAACGCUGGCGGCGUGCUUAACACAUGCAAGUCGAACGAUGAAGCCUAGCUUGCUAGGUGGAUUAGUGGCGAACGGGUGAGUAAUACGUGAGUAACCUACCUUUAACUCUGGGAUAAGCCUGGGAAACUGGGUCUAAUACCGGAUACGACCAAUCUCCGCAUGGGGUGUUGGUGGAAAGCGUUAUGUAGUGGUUAUAGAUGGGCUCACGGCCUAUCAGCUUGUUGGUGAGGUAACGGCUCACCAAGGCGACGACGGGUAGCCGGCCUGAGAGGGUGACCGGCCACACUGGGACUGAGACACGGCCCGGACUCCUACGGGAGGCAGCAGUGGGGAAUAUUGCACAAUGGGCGCAAGCCUGGUGCAGCGAAGCCGCGUGAGGGAUGACGGCCUUCGGGUUGUAAACCUCUGUUAGCAGGGAAGAAGAGAAAUUGACGGUACCUGCAGAGAAAGCGCCGGCUAACUACGUG